rnacentral:misc_RNA from 1 species
GAUGAAGAACGCAGCGAAAUGCGAUACGUAAUGUGAAUUGCAGAAUUCAGUGAAUCAUCGAGUCUUUGAACGCACAUUGCGCCCCCUGGUAUUCCGGGGGGCAUGCCUGUCCGAGCGUCAUUGCUGCCCUCAAGCACGGCUUGUGUGUUGGGCCCCGCCCCCCGGCUCCCGGGGGGCGGGCCCGAAAGGCAGCGGCGGCACCGCGUCCGGUCCUCGAGCGUAUGGGGCUUCGUCACCCGCUCCGUAGGCCCGGCCGGCGCCCGCCGGCGACCCCCCUCAAUCUUUUCAGGUUGACCUCGGAUCAGGUAGGGAUACCCGCUGAACUUAAGCAUAUCAAUAAGCGGAGGA